UUGUGUAAAUAAAAUUAAAAUUAAUUAGUUGUAAUAGGGUAUUAUAAUUAUAUUUAAUUUAAUUAUAUUAAUUAAUUAUGUAUGUAAGAAGAGUGGAAUUUUUAGUGAGUACUGUAAAGGAAUAUUUGUUUUAAGAAAAAGAUUUUUUUUUACCUUUUGUAUAAGGGGUGUUUAAUAUAUGAAUAAUAUGAUUUUUUCCCAAAAAAAAAUGAGUUUUUUUUAUUUUGAGAGAUAAUGUGUAAAAAUUAUUUUUAAAUUAUAAAAAGUAGUAAAAUGUUAAUCAUAUUUUUUAUAUUUGGUUAAAAAUAUAAAUUUUAUAGAAAUUUAUUAGUUUAAAUUGGAAUUAGAUCGUAACUAUAUUUUAGAUAUAAGAGAUAAGUCUUGUGUUGAAUUUAUUAAGUAUAAUAUAAUUGUUCAUAAAAAGGAUUAUAAUUAUCAGAUUAAUAUAAUAAUUAAUAUGUUGUAGGUGUGUAAGAUAGAUAUAUAUUUUUAUGAUUUUAUUGAUUAGUUUAAAAUUUAAUGAUGGGUAUAUUAGUAUAUAAUGAUAUAAAAAUUAUUUUUAUGAAUUCGGCAAAAAUAGUUUCCGACUGUUUAACAAAAACAUUUUUUUUAGUGAUGUUUAAAAGUAGGUUCUGCUCAAUGAAGAUUUUAAAUUGCUAUAGUAUUUUGACUAUAGGAAGGUAUUGAAAUAAGUUUUUAAAUGAGAGCUAAGAGAAUGAAUUAAUGGAGGCUUUCUUUAUGUAAAAUAAGUUGUAGAAUUUUACUUUUUUAUGAAAAGGUUAAGAUAAUAAUAUGGGACGAGAAGACCCUGUGAAUUUUUAUUUUUAAAAGGAUUGAAGUGUUUUUUUAAAAAUUUGAUUGGGGAGAUAGAAAAAUAAUGGGUAACUUUAUUUUGAUGGAGUAUUAUUUUUAAAGUAGGAAAAUACUCUAGGGAUAACAGCGUAAUUACUUUGAAUAGAUCUUAUUGUUAAAGUAGGUUGCGACCUCGAUGUUGAAUUAAUAUACCUAUUAGGCGAAGAAGUUUAGUUAGGGGGAUUGUUCAUCCUAUGAUUUAUUACAUGAUUUGAGUUCAGACCGGCGUAAGCCAG
rnacentral:rRNA from 1 species